CCGAGGUUCAGAGAGGUAUACUUGCUUGGGCAGCCAGUCGGAAAUCCAGCACGCUACCCAGACCUAGGGCUAGCCCAGUCGGACUCCUUCACUGACUCUCAUGCUCGCUGAAAAGUUCUGCCAGAAAAACAAGGGGGUGGGGGGGUACAACUUGGUUUACGUUUCUCAUGAUGUUUGCUUUUGGGCUCUCAGGAAACUGGCACGUUUCGCUUGUGCCGAGUAAACGUGGGCUUUACUCCCAGCAGCACCAAAAACAUUUUGGAGGCAUAAGGCUCGGAAGCUGGCAUGCCAGCGGGGACAGAAAUGAGAGGAUGCAACAGCUGGUCAGGGAGGCUGUCCUUGCCUUCUGCAAACGUUACAUGUGUGGACAAAAAAACUUUUGUCGUGAACCCAACAUGAUAUCGCCGCGUGAUCAAGACUGCCAAGUCCGCUACAAAGAGACAGUAAAAGCACACGGCUUAAACAGACCGCUCAGAGGCCCCGGAUGCCACUCUAUAAAUUUAUUACGUAACUGGACCAUUCUCAGGGACUGGAAAGUCCCCAAUUUAAAUGUCGUCUGUUUCUGCACAAAAAUAUGCCUUUCUCCCUACUUUGAUGAAGUCUUCCCUAAUGACUACGAAAGUGUCACAGAAAAGUGGAACAAGGUGGACGGGCCCUGUCACCUUGGGGGAGGCCGGCGCUACACGUAA
rnacentral:lncRNA from 1 species